rnacentral:rRNA from 1 species
AGGCGUCUAGCUAGAACGGGUCUGACGGUGAGGGACGAAGCCUGGGGCGCAAACCGGAUUAGAUACCCGGGUAGUCCAGGGUGUAAACGCUGCUUGCUUGAUGUUAGUCGGGCUCCGAGCCCGAUUAGUGUCGGAGAGAAGUUGUUAAGCAAGCUGCCUGGGAAGUACGGUCGCAAGGCUGAAACUUAAAGGAAUUGGCGGGGGAGCACAGCAACGGGUGGAGCGUGCGGUUUAAUUGGAUUCAACGCCGGAAAACUCACCGGAGGCGACGGUUACAUGAAGGCCAGGCUGAUGACCUUGCCAGAUUUUCCGAGAGGUGGUGCAUGGCCGCCGUCAGUUCGUACCGUAAGGCGUUCUGUUAAGUCAGACAACGAACGAGACCCUCGUCUUUAAUUGCUACUGGUAAGUUCGCUUAUCAGGCACAUUAAAGAGACCGCUGGCGAUAAGUCAGAGGAAGGCGAGGGCAACGGUAGGUCAGUAUGCCCUGAAUCCUCCGGGCUACACGCGCGCUACAAAGGCCAGGACAAUGGGCUUCGACACCGAGAGGUGAAGGUAAUCUCGAAACCUGGUCGUAGUUCGGAUUGAGGGUUGAAACUCACCCUCAUGAAGCUGGAAUCCGUAGUAAUCGCGGAUCAACAUCCCGCGGUGAAUAUGCCCCUGCUCCUUGCACACACCGCCCGUCAAACCAUGCGAGUUGGGUUUGAGUGAGGAUGUAGUUCUUGCUGCAUUCAAACUUAGGCUUAGUAAGCGGGGUU